UAACUUAACCCCGUAAAGGCGAUUUUGUCUGCGAUUAAUCUUCGUCAGGAAAGAAGAUUAACCGCAAACAAAAUCGCUUUUACGGGGUUAAGUUCG
rnacentral:pre_miRNA from 15 species